rnacentral:rRNA from 1 species
AUUGAACGCUGGCGGCAGGCUUAACACAUGCAAGUCGAGCGGAGAUGAGGUGCUUGCACCUUAUCUUAGCGGCGGACGGGUGAGUAAUGCUUAGGAAUCUGCCUAUUAGUGGGGGACAACAUUCCGAAAGGAAUGCUAAUACCGCAUACGCCCUACGGGGGAAAGCAGGGGAUCUUCGGACCUGGCGCUAAUAGAUGAGCCUAAGUCGGAUUAGCUAGUUGGUGGGGUAAAGGCCUACCAAGGCGACGAUCUGUAGCGGGUCUGAGAGGAUGAUCCGCCACACUGGGACUGAGACACGGCCCAGACUCCUACGGGAGGCAGCAGUGGGGAAUAUUGGACAAUGGGCGGAAGCCUGAUCCAGCCAUGCCGCGUGUGUGAAGAAGGCCUUUUGGUUGUAAAGCACUUUAAGCGAGGAGGAGGCUACCUGGAUUAAUACUCUAGGAUAGUGGACGUUACUCGCAGAAUAAGCACCGGCUACUCUGUGCCAGCAGCCGCCGUAACAC